AUUGAACGCUGGCGGCGCGUUUUAAGCAUGCAAGUCGGACGGCAAGCACUGUAGCAACAUGGUGCCUAGAGUGGCGAACGGGUGAGUAAGACGUAGGUGAUCUGCCUCUGGAUGGGGGAUAGCCCGUGGAAACACGGGGUAAUACCGCAUGAGGCCCUGGGAGUAAAGGCCCGGGGUGAAAGGUGCAACUGCACCGUCUGGGGAUGAGCCUGCGGUCCAUUAGGUAGUUGGCGGGGUAAAGGCCCACCAAGCCGACGAUGGAUAGCCGGCCUGAGAGGGUGUACGGCCAAACUGGAGCUGAGACACGGUCCAGACUCCUACGGGAGGCAGCAGCUAAGAAUCUUCCGCAAUGGGGGAAACCCUGACGGAGCGACGCCGCGUGGAUGAUGAAGGCCGUAAGGUUGUAAAAUCCUUUUGUUGGCGAAGAAUAAGGCGGGGAGUGGAAAGCUCCGCUGAUGACGUUAGCCGACGAAUAAGCCCCGGCUAAUUACGUGCCAGCCGCCGCAGUAACAC
rnacentral:rRNA from 1 species